GGGCGCGUAGCUCAGUUGGUUAGAGCACCAUCUUCACAUGGUGGGGGUCGCUGGUUCGAGUCCAGCCGCGCCUACCA
rnacentral:tRNA from 1 species